rnacentral:rRNA from 1 species
CGCUAAGGCGUUGAAGCAGUGUACGUCAGACUUCCAAGAAAAGCUCGCAAUGUCAUAAGUAAAAAAUGCCUGUACCAUAACCGACACAGGUGGGUAGGUAGAGUAUACUAAGGGGCGCGAGAUAACUCUCUCUAAGGAACUCGGCAAAAUGACUCCGUAACUUCGGGAGAAGGAGUGCCUUAUUUAUAAGGUUGCAAUAACAAGAUCCAAGCAACUGUUUAUCAAAAACACAGGUCUCCGCUAAGUCGUAAGACGAUGUAUGGGGGCUGACGCCUGCCCAGUGCCAGAAGGUUAAAGAAGUUGGUUAGUGUAUGCGAAGCUGAUGACUGAAGCCCUGGUGAACGGCGGCCGUAACAAUAACGGUCCUAAGGUAGCAAAAUUCCUUGUCGGGUAAGUUCCGACCCGCACGAAAGGCGUAAUGAUUUGGAUACUGUCUCGGAGAGAGGCUCGGUGAAAUAGACUUGUCUGUGAAGAUGCGGACUACCUGCACCAGGACAGAAAGACCCUAUGAAGCUUUACUGUAACUUGAAAUUGGAAUUGGACUUUGCUUGCGCAGUAUAGGUGGGAAGCGUUGAAGAUAUUCUUGCGGGAGUAUUGGAGCUAUCAGUGAGAUACCACUCUUGUAAUGUUAGAUUUCUAACUUUGAACCAUAAUCUGGUCAAAGAACAGUUUCAGGUGGGCAGUUUGACUGGGGCGGUCGCCUCCCAAAUGGUAACGGAGGCGUACAAAGGUUUCCUCUGAACGGAUAGAAAUCGUAUCUAGAGUGUAAAGGCAUAAGGAAGCUUGACUGUGAGACCUACAAGUCGAGCAGGGACGAAAGUCGGUCUUAGUGAUCUGACGGUACUGAGUGGAAAGGCCGUCACUCAACGGAUAAAAGUUACUCUAAGGAUAACAGGCUGAUCUCCCCCAAGAGUUCACAUCGACGGGGAGGUUUGGCACCUCGAUGUCGGCUCAUCGCAUCCUGGGGCGGUAGUACGUCCCAAGGGUUGGGCUGUUCGCCCAUGAAAGCGGUACGCGAGCUGGGUUCAGAACGUCGUGAGACAGUUCGGUCCAUAUCCGGUGUAGGCGUUAGAAUAUUGAGAGGAGCCUUCUUUAGUACGAGAGGACCGAGAAGGACACACCGCUGGUGUACCAGUUAUCGUGCCAACGGUAAACGCUGGGUAGCUAUGUGUGGAGUGGAUAACCGCUGAAAGCAUCUAAGUGGGAAGCCCACCUCAAGAUGAGUA